UUUUCCUCCGUGAAAUGCAGUAAUUGCAUACAUUUCUGCCUGUCUCUAAAGCAUAAAUGGAUUUAUACUAUAGUAUUGGUGCAGUAAUGCAAGAUAUUGGAUUACAUAUGUCAGAAAACGAACUAGUAGCCAGUUGUUGUUGCCCAUGGUGAAAUAAUAUCAAACCCACAGACUCCUGAAGCACAUAUGUCCCACACGAACUCCCGAGUCUAGUUAGCAUUUCGCUACCUAGCUAGGCUGUUUUAUGACAAAACGGAUGAUCUGAAUCAAACACUAACGACUCAGAGUGCCCUUCUUACGGAAGGAAAUGUCGACUCCCGGAACACUUAAAACAAAGUAACUGUACUACUGUAGCCAACACUCUUAUUUUCUAAGACAAGUGAAGAAACGCGUAGUUUCCACAAUGGAUCCGGCAAAUAUACUUGUAAUGGAGUCCAGACGGCAGCAUAACAUU